rnacentral:lncRNA from 1 species
GGGGAGGGAGAAACUGACAGGCCAGUGUGAGACACUGUGAGCCAACACAUGAUAGCUCACAUUCAUCUAUAGCCUACCUGCCCUCAGAUAUACUCUAAAAUAGGGAAAACGUACAAAAUGAUGUCUUAGAGUAGUUUGCGGAUAGGCACAUGAAAAGAGGGGGAAGGGUGGAGAGACUUGUCAGGAUAGGAGAGGAGAAAGGAGAAAAGACAAUGGCGGGGUGGAACUUCAGUGGACCGUGAGAAAGGGCAGGCGGAGGUUGAGACCCGUUAACGACCUCACAGAAUCGCCAACUUUAAAGACCCUAGAAACAACGCAUAGUAGAUGGAGACUGGUAGUUGUGAAGACCAUGUGUAAAAAUCCCAGGCUGAGAAUAUCUGGAAUGGGAAAUUUCUUGCCCACCUCACAAAACUCAAAGAUGAGGCCUGACCUUUGCAAGGAAGAAAAAUAAAUCUGGAAAUUUAGAAAUUACCUUGAAAGGGACUAAGCUCAAUUUGCUAUUGUUGAAGAAAAAUGCCAGAGCAACAAAACCUCCUGACACCCU